GGUUAAGUGACUAAGCGUACACGGUGGAUGCCUGGGCAGUCAGAGGCGAUGAAGGACGUACUAACUUGCGAUAAGCGCAGAUAAGGCAGUAAGAGCCGUUUGAGUCUGCGAUUUCCGAAUGGGGAAACCCAACUGCAUAAGCAGUUACUGUUAACUGAAUACAUAGGUUAACAGAGCAAACCGGGGGAACUGAAACAUCUAAGUACCCCGAGGAGAAGAAAUCAACCGAGAUUCCGGUAGUAGCGGCGAGCGAACCUGGAUUAGCCCUUAAGCACUCGGUGAAGUAGGUGAACAAGCUGGAAAGCUUGGCGAUACAGGGUGAUAGCCCCGUAACCGACGCUUCAUCGAGCGUGAAAUCGAGUAGGGCGGGACACGUGAUAUCCUGUCUGAAUAUGGGGGGACCAUCCUCCAAGGCUAAAUACUCCUGACUGACCGAUAGUGAACCAGUACCGUGAGGGAAAGGCGAAAAGAACCCCUGUGAGGGGAGUGAAAUAGAACCUGAAACCGUGUACGUACAAGCAGUAGGAGCACCUUCGUGGUGUGACUGCGUACCUUUUGUAUAAUGGGUCAGCGACUUAUAUUCAGUGGCAAGGUUAACCGUAUAGGGGAGCCGUAGCGAAAGCGAGUCUUAACUGGGCGCUCAGUCUCUGGAUAUAGACCCGAAACCGGGUGAUCUAGCCAUGGGCAGGUUGAAGGUUGAGUAACAUCAACUGGAGGACCGAACCGACUAAUGUUGAAAAAUUAGCGGAUGACUUGUGGCUAGGGGUGAAAGGCCAAUCAAACUCGGAGAUAGCUGGUUCUCCCCGAAAGCUAUUUAGGUAGCGCCUCGGACGAAUACUACUGGGGGUAGAGCACUGUUAAGGCUAGGGGGUCAUCCCGACUUACCAACCCUUUGCAAACUCCGAAUACCAGUAAGUACUAUCCGGGAGACACACGGCGGGUGCUAACGUCCGUCGUGGAGAGGGAAACAACCCAGACCGCCAGCUAAGGUCCCAAAGUAUUGCUAAGUGGGAAACGAUGUGGGAAGGCUCAGACAGCUAGGAUGUUGGCUUAGAAGCAGCCAUCAUUUAAAGAAAGCGUAAUAGCUCACUAGUCGAGUCGGCCUGCGCGGAAGAUGUAACGGGGCUAAGCAAUACACCGAAGCUGCGGCAAUAUCUUUUAGAUAUUGGGUAGGGGAGCGUUCUGUAAGCCGUUGAAGGUGAAUCGUAAGGUUUGCUGGAGGUAUCAGAAGUGCGAAUGCUGACAUGAGUAACGACAAAGGGGGUGAAAAACCUCCUCGCCGGAAGACCAAGGGUUCCUGUCCAACGUUAAUCGGGGCAGGGUGAGUCGACCCCUAAGGUGAGGCCGAAAGGCGUAAUCGAUGGGAAACGGGUUAAUAUUCCCGUACUUCUGACUAUUGCGAUGGGGGGACGGAGAAGGCUAGGUGGGCCAGGCGACGGUUGUCCUGGUUCAAGUGUGUAGGCUUGAGAGUUAGGUAAAUCCGGCUCUCUUUAAGGCUGAGACACGACGUCGAGCU
rnacentral:rRNA from 1 species